GAUAAAGAGGAUAAAGAGGAUAAAGAGGAUAAAGAGGAUAAAGAGGAUAAAGAGGAUAAAGAGGAUAAAGAGGAUGAAGAGGAUGUAGAAGAACCACAGGGCUCUUGUUCUGAGGCUGUUGAAAAAUCUUCAAUUUCUGCUCAAACAGACGAAUUAGAAAAUUUAAACUGUAAUGAAUAUUGUUAAAUUGUAAUGGUUUUAUGGUUUGGCUAGAGAAUGACAUCAUUUUUGGAAAAACUAAACUUUUCAAAAUAAACGAAAUUUUAUGUGAUUGAUGGUGUCGUAAAAUAAAUAAUCAAUGAUGGAUUAACGAAUUGGAUCGUUUAGAGAACAAAUAAACUCAUCGUUUUUCAUAAGAAAUGAAAAAAAAACAA